UAUUUAUAACUUUUUAUGUAUAAGAUAAUUACAAGAAUAGUUGGGAACAUUGAUAGGCUACUAAUGGGAAUGCUUCUAGAACAAGGUUGUGUUCAUUGUCUUUUCAUAAAAAUAAAAAAAAGUGCAGGAUUUGCAUUAUUGAUGUAGUGACGUGCACGCAGAAGAGUGAGGUUUCACCACUUAGGUUUUAGAAUAACCCCAGUCUUGUUCACUUAUAAUCACACUGCCAAUAAAGAUGAUUUUUGGCAACAGGGCUUGUCAGCAGAAAGCCUCCCUCUUUGACAUCUGUAUGUGCAUAUCAAACACAGAAUGCCCAAAAGCUGGCUCUGAAAUCAUUUUUUUUUUACCACUUCAAGGAGCCUUUGAGUAGAACAGAAGGUUCUGUCACUGAAGCUGUUUUGGUCAUAUGCUUUGUUGGGGUUAGGGUUACAUUCAGUGUGAAAUUUAAUUUAUAAAGAGGCAUGUGAUCAGAAUAAAGUGAGGAUGUGGCCUACAGUCAGGAUCGCUCUGCUUCGUCUGCCAUGUUCACACAAAGACCCCACAGUAAGAAGUUAAUAGACAGACAUCCUGCCCUCUGGCAUGAGGACUUAAAUAUGUGAACAUGACAAAGUGAUGGAAAGGUUCUUUUGUUGUCCUCAGGGCUGCCACAAGACAAUCUAGGUCAUCCAGAAAUGAACAUUUAUAUGGGAUGUGUCACGGUAUUUGACUAUUCAUCUAGAUUGACUAGUUUUAGAUUCUUCGUUUUUUUUUUUUUUUUUUUUGCAAUGGUUUGCAAGGUUAAUCCCUAUCUGAUUAAAUUUUUAAAGGGAUACUCCACCAAAAAAUUUAACUUGUCAUAAUUUGCUCAUUUAUUUCUUUCUUCUGUGGAACUAAAAUAUAUUUUGAGAAAUGUCAAAUUUUUCGUACAGUAGACAUUAAUGGUCUCCAUAGUUGUGUGGUUUACAACAUCCCUCAAAAUGUAAUCUUAUGUUCCACAGAAGAAAGUCAUACAUUUUAAGAACAGCAUGAUGGUAAAUAAAUUAUAAUUGACAUUUUUUGAAUGGGGUAUCCCUUUAAUUCAUCCUCUUUAAAACAUUGCUUCUUCAGACAUAAACGUAUAGACUGACAUCUUUGACCAAUGUGUUGCCAUAAAUGUUGCGUUGUACAGUUUGUAAAGAUCCUUCUGCAUCCUGUUCCUUCAGUUAUAUUGAAUGAUUUGUCUCAUUUUAACAACCUCCCAUAAUUGUGUAUGACUGGGGUGAGGUGACCCCCCCCCCCCCCCAAAAAAAAAUCCCUGUUCUCUUCUUAUUUAAAAUGUAAAAUUCAUUGUUUACUCACUUUUGUUGUUUCAAACAUGCAUGACUUUCUUCAUUCUGUUGAACACAACAGUAUAUAUUUUAUAAUGUAAAUAGCAAUAUAUGUAUUUUUGUAUGAAAAUUUACUGCUUUUGUGCAUAUAAUGAAAGUCAAUGGGACUCAAAACAAACCAUAAGAAAUAGACAAUUCAGUUGUGUUCCCCAGAGAAAGACAUGGAAGUUUUGGAGUGACCUGAGAAUUAAUGACAUAAUGUAAGUUCAUUUUAUGUAUGCAGAUCUCAGACUGCCUAAUUUAAUGAAAUGUAUCAUGAAAUAUUAUGUAUAACAUUAUGAUGUCUUAAGUGCUACCUGUAAAGAUCAGUUAAUACAAUCAAAAAUUUGAGUUAUUGUUUUGAAAACUUUUAUAAUGGAAGCUUUUCAGUAUGAAGACACAGUCGUCAUCACAGUGAUGUACCACAGCCCAAAACCAUGUGCACAUAUGCAGACUGUGUUACCUGAUGUGAGAGGUGUCAGAGAGAAUCUCUGCAAACACGCAUGUGAAAUCACAUUCAGUUUAUCAGACCUUUCAUGAGUUACCUUUUGUGUGGUUUUAACGUUGAGUUGGUAUGAAGGUGAGACGGUACCUUUCUCAAGACUAGCCAUGAAAAGGUAUUAGAUCAUAAACAGGAGGAGUAAUCCCGGGUCAGAGAUUGCUGUCAAAGUGUCCCCUCCAGUGUCCUAGAAAUGUGUGGCUUUGUAGGGAGUGGAUGGUGAAAGCAAAGGGAAUGCUAUUGUCUUGUCUGGUCCUGUCCAGAUGAGGGCUAAACAUGAUGGCCCUCAGUCAUGUAGAGGAAUGAAGCGGCUGUGAAUGCCUUCUCCGGUGUCACUUUCUGUCUAGGAGGUCCGACAGGCUGUCUGUCAUCAGAUUCAGCUUAUUACUCCACCUUGCAUAUGAGCCAACAGCCAAAUCAAGGAGAAUAUAUUUCAAAGGGAAACCGUUAUAAGUUGUAUAAAGCUUGAAUGUAAAAGCCAAGCAUCCAACAGAAUUUAAAAUGAUGCUCAUAACUGCACAGCUGGACUCAAGAUCUUGAAAUUUGAGUUGACUAGUUAUCAUCCAAUGCAUAGGAAUUUACGCAUUUACUGACACAAAAACCCGCGCUCACCUGCGUAUACAUCUUGAAGGCAAAUCAAAUAUGCUAACUUGCAUUUUCAAAUGGAGCCGCUUUAAAUGUAGACAGCCUGUCACAAUGAGACGCAAGUAGUCUGAUGAAAACCGAACAAAGAAGACAAAGUACGGUGGCUGGGUACAUCGAGAAAUGAAAUGUAACCUUGUAUGGACUGUCAGCAUUGUCGUUUUAUAUUCAUAUCUAAAGCACAUUAUAGUAUUACACUCCAGCUCAUGCUUCACUCAUCUGUCUCUCUUCAUUCGUCACGGGCGAGACUUUGUCUUUCAAGCCCCCGCGCGCCAACACCAGAAGGCUCCUGUUAAUUGACAAAUGAGAGCCUGCGACAUGAAGUGCUCCCUCAACAUCAGAGCAAGGUGGAGUCUCCUUUUUGAUGGGGCUAUUAUUGGCAUAAGCCAGUAAAACGCAUUGCUCUUCUCCGAAAUGAGAAGUGACAACGGUAGAAGGGCCUGUCACUGUCUUCCGGGUGUGUUCAAUCUGCUGCUGUGCCAGUAUGUAGAUAAAAUGUCAGUUAAGAGUACGAAGGAGAAACUGUCGAAAUGAAGUCGUCAAAUCACUUAGCCCGCAGAGGGUAUGGAAAUUGAUGCUUUUGUGGAAAUGAGAAUUUUUCAUAUCUGAUCUAUCAGGCUUAUUUAGCGUUAAUAUUUGGGAACAGCCCAGACUGUUUGGCUUGCAUUAGAAGAGGAUGCAGCUUUCCUUUAGCCCUGUCUAGUUUGUUAGACAGGCGCAAGUGGCGGAAAUGGAAUUUAUGCAUUUUCAUUCAGGGUGCCGCUCAUAUAAAUCAACUAUGAAGCAAUAAAAUCUCGUUUAAUUUCUCAGAGCAAAUUUGUACCUCUGUGAUUGCUUCAGGAGAGGAUGAGCUGACAGGCAAAAUUGUGAGAAUACAGAGAAACCAUUUUGGAUACAUUAUAGUUGACAUGUUUGUUACUUGCUGCUUUGCUAAUGGAUAAUUUAAAUAAAUUUAGUGUGUGGCGGUUGUGCGUCUUUGUUCCACUGCAAAGAUACAACCCAGUAAUGCUAAAGGGAAUUAUUUUAAGGUCAAAGCAAACAUGGCUUUAAACGAAAGAGAGAAUUUCUUCUUAACCAAAGGAUGGAGUGAGAUCUUGACCGAAAUCAUAGUAUUUGUUUUUGGGUCUGAUCUCUAAGCCACAUCAUUAUGAUUUAUGCAUUGCUAUCUGGAAGUCAUCACUCUAAAAGUUCAACUUUAGUGGGGCUAAAGCAGUAAUUUGUGUUGUUAAUGUCAUGUAAAUGUUUUAGUCUGACUGAAAUCAGACUAGACCCUUUCUUGGCAACGUUGGACUAACAGAGCUAGAUAAUUGUGGAUUAAGAUGAUUGUGGCUCGUCUUCAACCCUCAUGUAUACACACAUUUACACAUGUUUCAAAAGGAAAAACAAAACAUGUAUUUAAUCCUUUGAUUACCGAUGUCACGUGUACUUUGACUCCACUAUUCAAAAGGCACUGUAGCUAGCAUGUAACUUUCUCACCGCCAUACCUCCAUUCUCAUGUGCUAUUCACUUUCAGUUAUCGUUCAUCUUGACAGUUUUUCUGUUUUAACAGCAGCAGGAAGGCACGCCCUCAUCUUGACUUGGUAUUUCCAGCCAUUUCUAAUGUAGAUGGCCUGAACUUGCGGAGCCACACAUCCUUGUCCCUUUUGCAUGGCAGUUUUUCCUGCUCUUUGUAUAAACAGAGCUGUGCUUGUUUGCCCCAGGAAGAAUUAAAUCCAGUUGAUGUGCAAUAUCUCUGCGGCCGCCAAAACAGGCACCAUCGUCUGUCCGGCCAACGAGAGGGGAACGUCAUCAAGUCCUACCAAAUUAGUUUUGAAAAGUUCUUGCGGGCAAAUCAUGCUUUCUGUAUUUUGGUUAGAUGACAAUCUUGUAUCUGAUAAAAAACAUUUUUCUUCCACAUGUUACUGCCAAACCGCAGCAAUAUGGUAUUCAUUUAGAGGUCUGUCCUUCUGUCCCGUCUGGAUGGCAAGAGUUAAAGCACAGGAACAUUCCAUGUUGAGUGGUGGAAAGGUCUCCGCUUUGUCAAACGCUCACUAAUCACCCUCUGUUUAUCUCACAAACCGCCUAGAUUGUAAAUGUCAGUUCUGUCUGCUGACUUGUGUACUUUGGUUUUGAAAUCAUGCUCUCAAGACUGCUGCUCUGACAUCUCAAAUAAAUGAAUGGCUUCA